UUCGCCGUCCGAGUUGUAAUCUGAAGAAGCGUUUUCCGCGCCGGACCGUGUACAAGUCUCUUGGAAUAGAGCCGCAUAGAGGGUGAGAGUCCCGUCCAUGACACGGAUCGCCGGUGCUUUGUGUUACGCUCUCAAAGAGUCGAGUUGUUUGGGAAUGCAGCUCAAAAUGGGUGGUAAAUUCCAUCUAAAGCUAAAUAUUGGCGAGAGACCGAUAGCGAACAAGUACCGUGAGGGAAAGAUGAAAAGCACUUUGGAAAGAGAGUUAAACAGUACGUGAAAUUGUUGAAAGGGAAACGCUUGGAGUCAGUCGCGUCGUCCGGAACUCAGCCUCGCUUCUGCGUGGUGUACUUUCCGUUCGACGGGUCAACAUCGAUUUCGGACGGUGGAGAAGGGCUGGAGGAAGGUGGCACCGCUCGCGGUGUGUUAUAGCCUCUUGUCGUAUGCAUCGACCGGGAUCGAGGACCGCAGCGCGCCAGUAAUGGCCGGGGGUUCGCCCCACGUCACGCGCUUAGGAUGUUGGCAUAAUGGCUUUAAGCGACCCGUCUUGAAACACGGACCAAGGAGUCUAACAUGCUCGCGAGUGUUAGGGUGGAAAACCCUUGCGCGUAAUGAAAGUGAAAGUUGGGACCCUCGUCAUGGGGGGCACCGACGCCCGGCCCUGAAGUUCUCUGACGGUGCUGCGGUGGAGCGCGUAUGUUGGGACCCGAAAGAUGGUGAACUAUGCCUGAAUAGGGCGAAGCCAGAGGAAACUCUGGUGGAGGCUCGUAGCGAUUCUGACGUGCAAAUCGAUCGUCAAAUUUGGG
rnacentral:rRNA from 1 species